AGGUGUUUACCUGUGCAGGUAAUGCUCUGUGCCCCUGCUGCGGCUAUUGCUUUGUUUCAUUUAUCACUGUCCUCAUGCUUAAAGCCGGUGUGUUUUCACUGCGGAGCAGCGACUUCGUGCUCCGUUUAGUCCCCGGUCUUCUCUAGCGUUGGGUUAACAGCUAGUAGAGGAGGCCUACGUGGUGUGGCGUGGCCUGAAGCCAACACUCUGAAGCCAUUAUGGUCUACCAAGCCUCAAGGUGCUCUUCUGUCCAUUCGGGUUGCUUCACUUAUUUCCACUUCAACUGUUGAGGUCCACCUGGUAACUAAUGACGCCACCGCCUUUCUGAAUUCCCAUUGGUCGAGCGGGUCCGCCUCCUCCCUCCCCUCGAGUCCCGCCGGUUCAGACCUUCAGGAGACCAGACGACCACCCUCCACAC
ensembl:lncRNA